AGGAGGGGCUCGCGUCUGAUUAGCUAGUUGGUGAGGUAAUAGCUUACCAAGGCGAUGAUCAGUAGCUGGUCCGAGAGGAUGUGAUCAGCCACACUGGGACUGAGACACGGCCCAGACUCCUACGGGAGGCAGCAGUGGGGAAUUUUCCGCAAUGGGCGAAAGCCUGACGGAGCAAUGCCGCGUGGAGGUGGAAGGCCUACGGGUCGUCAACUUCUUUUCUUGGAGAAGAAACAAUGACGGUAUCUGAGGAAUAAGCAUCGGCUAACUCUGUGCCAGCAGCAGCGAGGAACGGAAGCAGAGUAGCAAAGCAAUGCUUAUGGAGAACUCGGCAUGCAUGCAGAGUGACACAAACUCAUCAUCACACGAUAUUAAUACUGUAAACUCCACACUUACUCGGACACUAGUGAUUACCAGCACCAGCAAUGAUGAACAGAAGCUAAUAGUAUGGGCAUGCAGAGUGACACAAACUCAACAUGAAACAAUAUGAAUACUGUAAACCCCAAAAUCACUCGAACAAUGCAAUGUUUUGAAGCAAGCUCUAUGCAGAGUAAUGCAAACUUAUGGGACAGAUGAGUAACACACAAAAUGGCAAGCACAGGUGCACUGACAGUGGUAGCUACUGUCAGGUUCAGCAGGACACACUUAGACACACUUAUUACUAAUGCUGAUAGAACAGAGCAGUGGUGCUGCAGCAAUGGCGUGGCAUGGCACGGGCAGGCAGGCAGACAUGCCGGCGCGUGCAUGGAAAAAAAGAAAUACCAGGGGCCUGGACCUCGUGGCAUGCUAGAAAAGGAGAAUGUAGGAGUCACGGGUCUGAGGGGCUAGGGUACAGGAGAAGCUGAGGCAGGAACACCUCAAAGAUAUUCACAAGGUCUGCCGCAACAGCAGGACAACAGCAAAAAAUGUGGUGCUUCAGUUAGUAAAAAUCCUCAAAGUCAAGACUAGUAAACUAGUUC